CAUCAGCCACGAUGAGAGACAGAGGCGGCCGGGACACGGGAGCGAACGAGAUAGCGGCCAGACAGUCAAGUGGAAGUGUCGAUGGCUGCUGCGUGUAAACGAGAACUAAUCAAGAAUGAAUCUAAUCGAGCGGCGGCGGCCAAUCGCGUUUCGUAAAAUUCGUAAAUGCAGUGUCGCGAUGAUCUAAAACUUGAUUGUUCGCUCGUUCGCGUACGACGAUACGUGUCGAGUGUCAAUGGUAGUGUGUGUGUGUACGAUCAAGGGUGAAGGACUACGUGAAGGAAAGGGACACUCGGAAGCGAAGAGGAGCAAAACGACGGCAACGUGUUGGUCGGUGAGUGAGUUACUUGUUAUAUUACGCUUGUCACUUAUCAUCCCUAGGUUUCGCAAUGACGACAAUUUGAUCAAGAUAUAGAUAACGUUUACUAUUAGAAAAGAAAACCGGGAAAACCUGGAAUUUUUUUAUCCUCGAAAUUCGUGGAUUUUCUUGGUAGGAUUUUAUUGAUAUUCAGUAAAGUUUUUGCGAAAUCUUAUUUUAUUUUAUUUUAAUUCGAUACAUUCAAAGGCGAUGCAAGACCGAUUUACAAUAGACGAUCGGUUUGCGUACAAAUCAUUAACAAAUAGGAAAUAAUAUAAUGAAAAAUAUCUUAAGUGCUACGCAUUCGGUAACUCUUCCCUGUAUUAAUAUAUCUAUUUUUUAAGUUUGAGAAACGCAACAGCUACGUUUCCAAUUGUUUCAUUAUAAAUCAAUAAAUUCGGUAAACAUGACGCGUUAAGGCAGAGGUAAAAAUUUAAAUAACGACACGGAGAUUCUGUCUCGGAGACGGGAACUCGCGUUCUACCGGGGACUGUUAUUGUUUCUGUAAUGGCAGGAACAGCGUCCCUGGGGGUCGUAAUGCCUCCUCGAUGACGAGGCGACGAGCGCAGGUGUGCCGUACGAGCGACGGGAUUUGCCCUCCCCCGAGAGAAUUCUGCCCCUCCUCCCCCCGCCUCCUUCUUCCACCGUGUGCGCUGAAGGGUCCUCUUUCGCGAGCUUAACGAGAUGACACCGUUCCCAAGAUCCUCGGAAAAUCCCGAGCCGCGCGCGCAAGAACAUCGCCAGCGCUCAAAUUUAUUCAUUCCCCUCGCCGACGCCGUCGUCGACGUUGCACGCACAACCGUCCGUAACGAGCUUCGGAGAUUUUACCUAACAAUAGAGAAGACUGCAGACCUAAGGCACGAAGAGUGAAUUUUAGAACGAAAGCGAGAGAGAGAGAGAGAGAGAGAGAGACGUACCUGUAUCGGUCGACGAAGGAGAUCAAGUAGUCCUAGUUAACAACAGUUUUAAUUCGUAACAGCUGAAUUUCUUUUUUUAAUUUGACCGUUAUUAUUAAUAAAGUACAUACAUAAUGUAGAAAUUGAUAAGGAACCAAGUUCGCGAAUGAUGUAUCGUCAUUCAUUCUGUCGCGGGAGGAGGGGGGGAGACAAAAAAAAUACUACAAGAAAACGUCAGGUCUUAAUUUCGAGAAAGCUCGCGUACGAUAAAUUAUCGAGCUUACAAAUUGCAUCCGGAAAAAAAAAGAAGACAGUGAUCGAUAUCCCGUGCGAAAGAAAAAUUAGCGCGACGGUCGUGCGAAAGUCGAACGGACGACGACGACGACGACGACGAAAGGGUUAAACUGGCUGAGAGGACUGGAGUCUGUGGAUGGCGGUAGGGUGACGGUCGGUGCGCGAGUCGGGCGGGUGUGGGGGGAGGGACAGGGUCUUCAUGGAGCGACGUUUAACAGCAUCGUAACCGGCUGGGAUGAUUACCUCACCAGCCAACGUAGGACUCUACGACCUACCCUCUGCUCGUCGUCGGCGUCGCGACGCCCGUAAACGGAAGCCCCACGGCAAUGCUUCCAACUCUCUCUCUCUCUCUCUCUUCUCCCCCCCUUUUCCGCCCGACUUCCCCGGGCUCCCAUCUCAGCUCCCUUCCCUCUCGUCGUCGUGCGAUGCAUAUCCAACCCUUUAACCACCUGCCGGAGAAGCGGCAGCAAUCUCGGGCGGCGAAUGCGCAGCGCCCCGAAAAUGUUAAAGGAGCCGCGGUAACGCUUUCGACUCUCAACCAGAAGAGCCAGCCGAAGAAUUCUCUUGCCAAGGCGAUCCUUUGAAGUUAGAGCUAUCGUUGGACUAUGCACGAGGAUAGCAGGAACGAGGUAAUUUCAGAAAUGGGAUUCUAUACCCGAAAGAAUUCUAGCAGAUUUUUCCUUUUUUUUUUUUUUUUUUUAAGAAUUCUCUUUCUCUCUCUCUCGAUUUACAAAAAUCUUUGUUCACAGAUAUUCCGAUAGGUUUGUUUGCAUUAAUAUGGAAAUCGCAGUUAACAAAUUAUAAAUUUAGGAGAAAGAAAAAUGAAUUUUCCCUGAUGAUUCGUAUCUUUCGGUAUCAUCUCUUUGUACGGGCAGAGUUCGCUCGAGCUAGUAUUUCGAGCCAACCUUUUUUAAACGCGAUGUAAGGGACACCUUUUACACUCGGCCGAAUCGAUUCGCGCGAUACUCUCUUUCGCUUGGCUUCGCUCUCUCCCCGUUCUAGUUUCUUUGGCUUUUCGUCACGACGAUUGACAGGCUUUAUGGCGGCGGUACGGUCACGCUUAACGACCGAGCCAAUCGUAAAAAGCUCCGCCGGCGCUGCGGAGCGUAGAUAAGGUCUUCGUCAUUGACAACCUUGCGGCGGAAGAAGGACGAGUCCGGCACUCGACGUGAGAACAGGAACGAGGAAUUUCGCGAUCGCGUACUAAUGUACGGAGAACAUCGAUAAUUUAUAUUUGUACUAAAAUAAUAUUAUUUCUUCCGCCGCAACAAGAAUUGCUGUGUUUUUUAAUAAUUUUAAAAAUUAUAUGUUUUUAUGCUGUGUAUAAUAUAUAUUUCCUUGCAAAAUUCAGAAGAAUGAUGCGACUUGCAUAGAAUACAUAGUUAUUACAGGUGUUUGAAAUCAGGUAAAAGAUAUUUUAAUUCGCUCUCAUUUUGAUUCUUAAGAACAUACCGCGUGAAAAUAGAUGUCUAUUAUUUUCAUAAUUGAUUGUAGUAUCGAAAAUUAUAGUGAAAUUGUUUAUUCAUUGGAAGAUUUUUACACGAACAAUAUUACAUUUUCGUUAGAUUACGUCUGACUACGACAAAACGGUGCACGUGCGUGUUAGAAUCAGUUUGCCAAGCGACGCGAUUAUCACGUUGCAACUGCACCAAUGCCGCAAGGAUAAACGAUUGCUAGAUAUCGCUUACGAGACACUGUGGAAAGGAAGUUCGUUUAUCGACUCGCUUACGCGAGAGCAAAAAAUUGCCAAGACAAUCGAGUCGGAAUCCAUAUUCGAAUCGUUAAGGAAAAUAAUUAUAUAAAUCAAUGAAAAAAAAAUUUGAUUCACAAGACACAAUUCUAAUUUAAUAUCACAACCUUAUUUCAACGUAUUAUAACUUACAUCAUAAACUCAGUUCUAUUUAAGCAUUUUUAUUUUUUAAAUAGAAAAUUUUUUUAAGUAUGCAUAUGGCAUAUUGAGAUAUUUUAUAUAGUUAAAAAAAUGACGGAAGAAAGUUAUAAAUCUUUGAUAUGUCAUCGAUGCGCAAUAUUGUUGAACUAGAUGCAUUUUUAAGUGAAGUUCAGCGUCUUUAUUGCGCACUGUAAAAUUCUUCUAGACGAAGAUAGACCUAGAUAGACCUUCGUGACUAACUUCAGGCACUGUUACGUGCCACAACUCGCUAAUUGUUAAUUUUCAUUAUGUCCCGUCAGUUGGACGUCACAGCGCGUUCCGCCCCGCGAGAAUUAAAUUAAUGCAAUAAAUUCGCUGAAUUUAGUACGGGCGCGUCGAGCGAGAUAUUUUUUUAACCAUAUUUCUCGUAAAACGCGUUCGGAACCGCGUAUUGUAUUCGCGUGCGUGUGAUGCGCAAAUGUGUAGAACGACCGUGCGAAGAGUAAUUGGGCAAUAUUGUCGGUAAGUAUGAUUGUGACCGCGAAUAGGGAUGGGGUUGAGAACUGUGCGCGCCACGAGGCGAGACAGAGAGAAAGAGAGAGAGGAAGGGAGAAAGAGAAAAAAGUAGAGUGCUAAACAGGGCGAAAGAGAUGCAGAUAAAUGAGGGAUAUAAAGGUAGGAGAGAUAUAAAAGACCGUUUACGAGUCAUCGAAAAUGUCUCAGGGCGAAACUUAUCGAAACUAUCUUCAUUUGAUUCUUAAUCGUGACUUAAAAAUACUUUUUGCAUUUAAUAUUUUUCGUACACAUUAUUGAUUAUUUAUUAGAAAUUUGUUUAACGACAUAUUGAUAUUAACUAUAGAGUGAAGCUAAUGAAACAUUUCAAGUAAAAUACAGUUUUAUCUAUAUUUAACGUAAUGACCUGAAUUCAAUAAGUUCGAAAGUCAAUCAUUUUGAUAUUUUAAUAAGAUUUUAGACCAAUUUUUAGAUUUUAAUUUAUUUUGGAUUUUGAGGAAAAAAAUGCGCUUUUCGCUCUCUCAAUGCAAGGAAAAAAAUCAAUCGCGUUAUAUGCAUAAAAGAAUUAAUUCCGUCACUUGAAAAUGUCACUAGAUUCAAUCACGGAGAUAUUAAGUUUGUUAACGACGUGUUCUCUAUAAUAUUUCGUCUGUCUCUCCCUCUCUCUCUCUCUCUCUCUCUUUCUCUCUCUCUCCCCGCGUUAAUAAAUCAGAAUAAUUGAAUAGUGCGGAUUUUUCGAGAUACGAAUGCCACAGACCGCUAACGAAAGGCGCGCGCUGCGGAACGGUAGAAAAAAAAAGAACACCUUUCAUUCAAGAGGCAGCCUACGAGCGAACGUUGCUCCUCCAUUAGCGACAGACGUAACAAAGCGCCUUUUCAUGAGGCAUCGCCCACGACCAACUCGCAUAAACUCGACCGUCUCCCGAGCCUCGCGUGAUCAUCCCUCUUUCUCGGGGCUUCCGUCAAAAAUCCAACGCGCGUUCCAACGCGUGAAGACAAAGGUGGCAACGGGAAAAGCCGCGGGGAGUGACGAGGAACGAGAGCGGGAUGUGAAGAAAGGAAAAAAAGUGAGAGGUGGUGGAAAAAUCGUGGAAGCGGAAGGAGGAAAAAGAAGAAUAUGAAGAGGGAGAGAAAGAGCGAGAAAAAAGGGAACGCGCGAGAGAGGGGGAGAGAGAGAGAGAAGUUCGAUGUCGAACUCAGCCCUCGACCGAACGGCUCACCAUCCCUUUCCCGUUCUCAUCUAUAGAAGAUACCCUUCGACUCUCCGUGCCCUCGUACGUGCUCUCGCCCGCAGACCGUCCCUAUACUCUCGCACGUACACGUAUUCACCUAUACAGGCGCGUGCGGAAAGCCGUAGUCACCCUCCAGCGGCCCGCGGCCCCGCCCGUCGCACCCCCCGUCUCGUCAACCCUCGGCUCGGCCGGCGUGUUCCCGCCCUCUCCGUGUUUCCGCGGCCCGUUCCAACCACCCCGUUCCACGCCGUGUCCCGCAGGGCAUGUCCCUAUACACCGCCGACAUGCAAUUGUCCGCUCUAUCGCCUCUAGAUCCGUCCUCGCGUCGCGCACGCGGCGCCUAUAAAAAAAGUGUCUCUCUGAUAAGAUCCGGUCGCACUCGCGGAAUCGCGACGUCGAAUUCAAGCGUGUCCGGGCGGCGUCGCGGAUUUUACGCGGAUUUUUCGCGGGGGCGCCGCGCGGACAGUACUUUCGCCGCCGCCGGAAAAUUCUCAUCCCCUUUGGUGGCACGCUCCGCGGCACGCCCGGCCGUCUCUGUUAUACUGCCGGCAGCGACCCAACCGUCUCCUCCCUCGUUCGCUCCCGCAGCUCUCUCUCUCUCUCUCUCUCUCUCACUCACACACACACACACACUCUCACCCCAAACUCGUCCCCUCGCGCCUCGCCCACGCCCGUCCGUCGCUCGCCCGCCGCGCCGCGCCGCCACCGCCACGCCAUCGCCGCGUCGCUGCCGUCCCCUCGAGCCAGCCGAGCUAACCACCUCAUCCCAACCACCGCCCGGCCACCCACCCACGCGCGCUACCCCCUACCCUCGACCGCGCCACUCUGCGAGCCGCUCGUUAACCUGCUAGCGCCCCUCUAACCGCUGCUGCAGGGCUGCUGCCGCCGCCACCGCCGUUGCCGCCGUCGCUACCGUGGCUGCUAUAUUUACAUAUCAAUAUUCCAUGGCGUGGCAGGGUGGCUGGCUGGCUGGCUGGCUGGCUGGCGGGCUGGUUGACUGGCUGGCUGGCUGGCUGGCUGGCUGGUUGCACGCUCUCCUGAUCGUAAAGUAGCGGUGGCGUGCUCCUGCGGAUCCUGUCUACCUCCCUGCAUCCCCUUCCCCCUUGCUUCUGUCGCUCCCUUCCUCUCCCCGGGGCCCCGAAUCUCUCGAGGGAUGAAAUCCUGAGGAGAGAGAAUGAGAGAGAGAGAGAGAGCGUUCAGACAAGAGUAUUCCCGUCCAGGAGUUCGGAGACGCCGAGAGUAAUGAUCCGACUGGCUGCGUGUCUUCGACUGACAGCGUUAAGGGUGGCCGCGAGGGAGAGGGAGUAGGAAAUUUCCUCGAGAACUGUCGGCUCCCGAGACGGCAAAAGGGUAAAGGCCGCCGCGACACCCCCAUCUGGGCUUCUCCUGAAUUCUUUGUGCAGUCACGCGGCAGGAUCGCGGACGUCGCGCUGGCUAAAAAUAUGAAUGUCACCGCGUGACAACUCGCAUAAUGACGACAAUGCAUCACAAAAAGUCUUGCGCUUUUAUAUUCGACAUUUUAUCUCGUUCCAUUUUAUUCUAUUAUAUUCUAUUUUAAUGCGCGUCUCUCUCUCUCUCUCUCGCUCUCUCUUUCUAAAAUGAUAUACGCGCGCGGAAUGCUUUUUGUUUCGCCCGCGUUUUUGUUUGAUUUCCUUAACGCUAUCGAGUAUACCGCCCGAGUUAGGUAGGUAUCGCGUUGUCGAACGCCGCGCGACAAAGCA
rnacentral:lncRNA from 1 species